GCGGACAUAGCUCAGUUGGGAGAGCGUCAGACUGAAGCGGACUUGCAUCCGGAAAACUUCAUUCAAUCAAUCUGAAGGUCGUGUGUUCAAUCCACACUGGCCGCA
rnacentral:tRNA from 1 species